rnacentral:rRNA from 1 species
UACAGAGGUGGCAAGCGUUGUUCGGAAUUACUGGGCGUAAAGCGCACGUAGGCGGAUAUUUAAGUCAGGGGUGAAAUCCCGGGGCUCAACCCCGGAACUGCCUUUGAUACUGGGUAUCUGGAGGUCGAGAGAGGCGAGUGGAAUUCCGAGUGUAGAGGUGAAAUUCGUAGAUAUUCGCAAGAACACCAGUGGCGAAGGCGGCUUACUGGUCCGGUUCUGACGCUGAGGCGCGAAAGCGUGGGGAGCAAACAGG